rnacentral:rRNA from 1 species
CCUACGGGAGGCAGCAGUGGGGAAUAUUGCACAAUGGGGGAAACCCUGAUGCAGCGACGCCGCGUGAGUGAAGACGUAAUUCGUUAUGUAAAGCUCUAUCAGCAGGGAAGAAAAUGACUCUACCUGUGUAAGAAGCCCCGGCUAACUACGUGCCAGCAGCCGCGGUAAUACGUAGGGGGCAAGCGUUAUCCGGAUUUACUGGGUGUAAAGGGAGCGUAGACGGCAGUGCAAGUCUGGAGUGAAAGGCGGGGGCUCAACCCCCGGACUGCACUGGAAACUGUACGGCUGGAGUGCAGGAGAGGUAAGUGGAAUUCCUAGUGUAGCGGUGAAAUGCGUAGAUAUUAGGAGGAACACCAGUGGCGAAGGCGGCUUACUGGACUGUAACUGACGUUGAGGCUCGAAAGCGUGGGGAGCAAACAGGAUUAGAUACCCGUGUAGUC